rnacentral:rRNA from 1 species
CCGUUCCCGUUCCGAACACGGAAGUCAAGCACCCCUGCGCCGAUGAUACUCCGAUACGGGGGAAAGUAGGGAGCCGCCGGCU